rnacentral:misc_RNA from 1 species
GAAAAUUCCUUGACCUUUUGAGUCAUGAACAUCAUUCGUCAAAAAACUUUUUCGAAAAUUGUUUGAGCAUUUUGGGUUUGUGGGGUUCUCUGGUUAUAAAGUGGAAAGACUAAAAUGUACAAAUAACGACAAUUUAGAUCAAAUCAAGCGUAGUUUUUCUUGCCGCCUUAUACCAGAGUGAGCUGGAUAAGUUCUCUGUGGAAGAAUGAAUUUGUGUGAUCAGGAUAUUGGCUCCUUUCUUUAAUCAGCAGUGAGUAUUAGAAGAUAUUGUUGAAAAGGAUUUUACUUUUGACUAAGUAAGAUUCAUGGAAAUUGCAACCGCUUUGUUGUGUGGGCAUUAAGAAAUUUCCUUGCUUUGAUUCCCUUCCUAUAGAGUUCACCAUUCGCUUCUUUUGCUUUAUGUAGGUCUAGAAAUAUCCUGUUCAGUGCAAGCCCAGUAAGCUGUCUAGGGGCACUGAAAGCAGCAAUUUUUUCUAGAGAUAAUCCAGGCUUGGGUUUCAGUACAUAUAAACUAUAAUGGAGAGAAUUUGUGUUGGUGGUGCUUUAGAUAGAAUCAGUGACCUUCCAAGCAAUGUAAUAGACCACAUCCUAGGAUGUUUGCCACUAAAAGACACUGUGAGGACCAGUACAUUGUCAAAGAAGUGGAAGGAAAAAUGGCAUACGGUGCCACAUAUUAUAGUUGAUGAGAACUUUUUCCAUGAAAGGUCACAACGGAAGCUUGAGGGCAUAAUCAAUUAUAUCCUCAUUAGACAUGAAGGGAAUAUUGAGAAAUUUUCUGUGUCUGUUGAAAAAGUGAAAGACUGUUACAACAUGAAGUUGUGGAUAUGGAGUCUAUUGCAGAAGUCAAUUAAGGAACUGUCCCUCAUUAUCCGCAGAGGUCAGCACAAUGAAGUACCAUCUGAUUUGUUUUCUUGUCAGCAGUUGAGAAAGUUAAGCCUCCGCCAUUUUGAGGUUAAACAGGCACAUUCAUUCAAAGGAUUUCAUAAUCUUAUUAGCCUUAAGUUGAACAAAGUUAACAUAGCAACUGCCAUUUUUGAAAGGCUUAUUUCUAGAUGCCCACUGCUUGAACAACUGACUGUAAGAAACUUGAGCUGCAUUGAUCAUCUUCACAUCAAUGUCCCCAAACUCAAGUAUUUUUGCUUUGAUGGAGAAUUCAAAUCUAUGUGUUUCAAUACUCCACUUCUUGAGGUUUUGUCUAUCAAUUUAUAUCGAAUUGGUUCUGAGAAUAACCAGUUUGAUCUAAGAUUCAAAUUCCGUGGUCUUCCACCUCUAAUUAAGGAGCUUUAUGUGCGAUGUCGAUUUCAGAAGUUCUUGGCUGCAGGUGAUACAUUUACAGAAGUUGCAACUACUUAUAGCCAUCUGAGGACCCUUGGAAUAAAUGCAUUUUGUUUUGAGAAGGUGGACGAAGUCUCAAGUCUCCUCUCUUUGAUUGGAAGUGCCUUAAACUUGCAAAUUCUUGAUAUAAAAGCAUGUGGCUGCAAAAAUGAAGCUGUCUCUGAACCUAUUCUACAAUUUUGGGAAGAGCAAUAUCAUUCUCCUUUUUCCCUGAAUCAAUUGCAGAAAGUGACAGUGAGAUCUUUCCAUGGUAAAGAAUUUGAGAAGAAGUUUGUCGAAUUUGUGCUGGAAAAUUCACCUAUGCUUGAGGAGAUUACUGUUGAAUGCAUGAAGGAUCCUGACUUCAACCAGGAUGAAAUAAAGGAACAUUUGGCGGUGAUUUGCCCAGCUCCAACAAAAUUCAAUUUCGUUGGAGGAAACUCUGAUUCCAGCAGUGAUUAUUCCUCGGAUUCCGAUGACAACUCAAAUAGUUCAUACUCUUCUGAUAGCGAUUAGUUUCCUGGUAUCCUUGUUCUGAUUUUCAAAGGGGAGAAGCCAACGCUGAAAAGGAAUGACGUCUGAUCUCAAGUUUUUGCGCAUAAACGUUUAGGGAGAUUAACUUUGGUUUUGAACUUAGAAUUGCAUUACAUGGGAGAGUGAAUCGAGUUAGAGAGGGAGAGGGUUGCAUUACUUGUUGCUGUUUAAAGUUUAUAUGAAUAAGUUGACGAAUGCAUUUGCUUGCACAUAUUAUGCACUUGUCUUUCUCUAUUCUUUCAUUUCUGCCCCGAUCGUCUUCAACCUACUGCUGGAAAACAAACGUCCCUCAGUCUGCCCCUUCUUAAGCUCCGCACUGGGGCCUGAAUAAAGAAGAACAUCUCUUUAGAGGUUCCUUGCAGUUAUCCUCUUUUGUGGCAAAAUGCAUAUCCCUGUAAUGAAAGACUAGUAUUAUUUUUUAUCCGUUUGGUUUAAUGUUUUUAUUAAAUGAUGAAUGCAUGACAUUUAAAUCUCUAUACAUGGAGAUUCA